rnacentral:tRNA from 1 species
UCAGGGAUAGUUCAAUUGGUAGAACGCCGCACUGUUAAUGCGGAAGUUUCCGGGUUCGAAUCCCGGUCCCUGAGCCA